GACCUGGUACGGUGGUCCGCCUUCACGGUGGUUACUGCUGGACCGGUUUCUACCUCUUGGUGAGCCGGCAUGCCCUUCACUGGGUGUGUCGGGGAACCAGGACUUUUACCUUGAGAAAAUUAGAGUGUUCAAAGCAGGCCUACGCCCGAAUACAUUAGCAUGGCAUAAUAAAAUAGGACGUGCGGUUCUAUUUUGUUGGUUUCUAGAGUCGCCGUAAUGAUUAAUAUGGAUCGUUGG
rnacentral:rRNA from 1 species